rnacentral:rRNA from 1 species
GGCGAGGGGAGUGAAAAAGAACCUGAAACCGUGUACGUACAAGUAGUGGGAGCACAGGUUUACCUGUGUGACUGCGUAUCUUUUGUAUAAUGGGUCAGCGACUUAUAUUCUGUAGCAAGGUUAACCGAAUAGGGGAGCCGGAGGGAAACCGAGUCUUAACUGGGCGUUAAGUUGCAGGGUAUAGACCCGAAACCCGGUGAUCUAGCCAUGGGCAGGUUGAAGGUUGGGUAACACUAACUGGAGGACCGAACCGACUAAUGUUGAAAAA